AUUGAACGCUGGCGGCAGGCCUAACACAUGCAAGUCGAGCGAGCGGCGGACGGGUGAGUAAUGCCUAGGAAUCUGCCUGAUGGAGGGGGAUAACUACUGGAAACGGUAGAUAAUACCGCAUACUAUCAGAUGUGCCGAGAUGGGAUUAGCUGGUGGGUGGGGUAACGGCUCACCAAGGCGACGAGCCAUAUCUGGUCUGAGAGGAUGACCAGCCACACUGGAACUGAGACACGGUCCAGACGCCUACGGGAUGCAGCAGUGGGUAAUAUUGGACAAUGGGCGAAAGCCUGAUGCAGCCAUGCCGCGUGUGUGAAGAAGGCCUUCGGAUUGUAAAGCACUUUCAGCGGGGAGGCGUUACCCGCAGAAGAAGCACCGGCUAACUCCGUGCCAGCAGCCGCGGUAAUAC
rnacentral:rRNA from 1 species